AAUAAACGAAAGUAAUUUAUAACAUGUAAUAAAAUUUGAAAACAUAUGGAUUAACGAGAUUCCCACUGUCCCUAUCUACUAUCUAGCGAAACCACAGCCAAGGGAACGGGCUUGGCAAACACAGCGGGGAAAGAAGACCCUGUUGAGCUUGACUCUAGUCCGACUCUGUGAAGAGUCAUGAGAGGUGUAGCAUAAGUGGGUAGGUUUUUUUGUAUUUAUUAUACAAAUACCAACAGUGAAAUACCACUACUUUCAUCGAUUCUUUACUUAUUCGGUAAAACGAGAAUUGAAA
rnacentral:ncRNA from 1 species